AGAGUUUGAUCCUGGCUCAGAUUGAACGCUGGCGGCAGGCCUAACACAUGCAAGUCGAGCGGUAACAUUUCUAGCUUGCUAGAAGAUGACGAGCGGCGGACGGGUGAGUAAUACUUGGGGAUCUGCCUGAUGGCGGGGGACAACCACUGGAAACGGUGGCUAAUACCGCAUAAUGCCUACGGGCCAAAGUGUGGGACCUUCGGGCCACAUGCCAUCAGAUGAACCCAAGCGAGAUUAGCUAGUUGGUGAGGUAACGGCUCACCAAGGCGACGAUCUCUAGCUGUUCUGAGAGGAUGAUCAGCCACACUGGGACUGAGACACGGCCCAGACUCCUACGGGAGGCAGCAGUGGGGAAUAUUGGACAAUGGGCGCAAGCCUGAUCCAGCCAUGCCGCGUGUGUGAAGAAGGCCUUCUGUUGUGAGCACUUUCA
rnacentral:rRNA from 1 species